CUCUCUCACACAUCGGGGACCUCUGGGAGACUCCACAGCUACGGAGCUCAAAGGCAGCACCCAGGUCCAGCAUGAACUUGGCAGUCAUGCCCACACACUCUAGAAGAUUCCAGAUAUAACAAUUCCAGCAACCAUCAAAUCAUCCACCUGGAAUUCUGACCUGUAUCCUCAAGAGAUGGCAAUGAUCUGAGACUGUUUCUCAAACUAGGAAUGCCCAGGACUGCAGGCCUGAUCUAAACCCUGACAUGGGGAAGGCCACCAGGGGAGAGCCCCUGCCUGGCUCCUCUCCGGGCUGGAGGCUCGAACCCAGACCAAAGGAGGCUGGCGGCGGCCGUUGCCGGGGAGUAGCCGUUUCUGGUGCCUCCACAGACCACUUCUGAGUGUCCUGCCUGCUCAGACCCCUGUCGCCUCAGUUUCCCCACCUACUGAAGGAGACAGGAAGAGGCGACCUCCAGAUCGGUUUGAGAGUUCCAUCUAUCAAAAGCCCACGCAGGCACUCAGCAGGCUGAGUCAGGAAUAGCGGGUGCUGGAGGCAUCGCCCCAUCUUCAGGACCACUCUAGCCUGAGGGGCUUCUCUCCUAGAGACCUUGGAGCCUUCUCAGUCAGGACACAGACAGCCAUACCAGGCCUGAGGAUGCCAAGAAGCCUCCACUUGGGUACAAGGGUUAAGAAGGAGCCAGUAGCCAGCGGUGGUGUUGUACACCUUUAAUCCCAGCACUCAGGAGGCAGAGGCAGGUGGAUCUCUGAGUUUAAGGGCUGCUGGUCUACAGAAAGAGUUCCAUGAUAGCCAGGGCUACACAGAGAAACCCUGUUUCAAAAAAGAAAAAGGAGCCAUUUGUGGGAGGUGUAUACCUUUAGUCCCAGCACUCAGGCAAGUGGCUCUCUGCAUGUUUGAAGCCAGACUGGACUACAUAUCAAGUUCUAGGCCAGCAAGGAUACAGAAUGAGACCCCAGGUGGCUUAAAAGGUCAGCUACAGGGAGUGGGUGGUGGAGUGGGGGUACCUGGAGGUGGCUCAGCAGUCCUCCAGAGGAUCCCAGCACCCACAUGGCUGCUCACAACCCGCAGUAACUCCAGUUCCACGGAACCAGAUGUUAUCUUAGACAUGCACACAGGCAAAACAACCAUACUUAUAAAUAAAAGAGAGAUUUAAUAAAGCAUCAAAAGAGCUGUUCAUCAGGUGUUUUUAUUUUAUUUUUUACAUUUGUUUAAAUUGGUGGCACAUGACUUUAAUCCCAGCUCCAGCUCUCACUGGAGGCAGAGGCAGGCAGCUCUCUGAGUCCAAGGCCAGACUAGUCUACAUAGAGUUUCAGGAAGGCCAGGGAUACAAAGAGAACUAGAGUGAGUGAGUGUGUGUGUGUGUUUGCGCUCAUGCACAUGGUAGUGGGGUUGUGGUUUAUGAAUGUAUAUGGGCACUGUGUUUGAAUGAAUUGAACUCAGGACCUCUGGAAGCAGCCAGUACUCUUUUUUUUUCCUUCGAGACAGGGUUUCUCUGUGUGGCUUUGGAGCCUAUCCUGGCACUCGCUCUGGAGACCAGGCUGGUCUCGAACUCACAGAGAUCUGCCUGCCCCUGCCUCCCGAGUGCUGGGAUUAAAGGCGUGUGCCACCAACAACCGGUGCAGCUAGUAUUCUUAAUUACUGAGUCAUCUCUGCAGCCCCAACCAAGAUGUUUUAAACUGGGUCUGGUGGCAAUGAAACUUUUAAACAAAGGCGGUGUGGAAGUAGAAUUCAUGAUGCUCCUGGCCUUUACUCUGCAUUAGGGAGGUGGAAACAGGCAGAUCUGUAACUUUGAAGCCAGCCUGGUCUACAUACCAAAUUCUAGGGCUAAACAGUGAGAACUCUUUGUUUUUUCGAGACAGAGUUUCUCUGUGAAACAGCCCUGGCUGUCCUGGAACUAGCUCUUUUAGACCAGGCUGCCUGGAACUCACAGACAUCCACCUGCUUCUGCCUCCUAAGGGAUUAAAGGCGUGCGCCACUGCCCAGCCCAGGGAGAACUCUUUAAACAACAAUAACAAGAAACGGUUGAAUGCCACCACUUGAUUCCCAGUGCCACGCACAUGGUGAGAAAAGAGAACUGUCUUCCAAAAAUUGCCCUCUGGACCCCACCUGUGUGUCUUGACAUGCUGUAUGCACCCCCAUACAUAUAUCUGUGGAAAAAAUAAUUCAUACACCACUGAAUUGGUAAUCAAUGUGUUCAAAUGUAUAAGCAUAUAUACACAGAUAUGGGCAGAUGGUCACCACACUUUGUAUUAUUUGACUUUAUUAUUGCUGACUAAUGAAAC
ensembl:lncRNA